rnacentral:rRNA from 1 species
ACUCCUACGGGAGGCAGCAGUAGGGAAUUUUCCGCAAUGGACGAAGUCUGACGGAGCAAUGCCGCGUGAGUGAUGAAGGUUUUCGAAUUGUAAAGCUCUGUUGUAAGGGAAGAAUAGCAAGAAUAGGAAAUGAUUCUUGUCUGACGGUACCUUACCAGAAAGCCACGGCUAACUACGUGCCAGCAGCCGCGGUAAUACGUAGGUGGCAAGCGUUAUCCGGAAUUAUUGGGCGUAAAGCGCAUGUAGGCGGCUCUUUAAGUCUGAUGUGAAAGCCUGUGGCUCAACCACAGAAUUGCAUUGGAUACUGGAGAGCUAGAAUCUUGGAGAGGUAAGUGGAAUUUCAUGUGUAGCGGUGGAAUGCGUAGAUAUAUGAAGGAA